UUGAGCGAUUUACUUCGGUAAAGAGCGGCGGACGGGUGAGUAACGCGUGGGUAACCUACCCUGUACACACGGAUAACAUACCGAAAGGUAUGCUAAUACGGGAUAAUAUAUUUGAGAGGCAUCUCUUAAAUAUCAAAGGUGAGCCAGUACAGGAUGGACCCGCGUCUGCUUAGCUAGUUGGUAAGGUAACGGCUUACCAAGGCGACGAUCAGUAGCCGACCUGAGAGGGUGAUCGGCCACCUUGGAACUGAGACACGGUCCAAACUCCUACGGGAGGCCGCAGUGGGGAAUAUUGCACAAUGGGCGAAAGCCUGAUGCAGCAACGCCGCGUGAGUGAUGAAGGCCUUCGGGUCGUAAAACUCUGUCCU
rnacentral:rRNA from 1 species